GACGAACGCUGGCGGCGCGCCUAACACAUGCAAGUCGAGCGAGAACCAGGGCUUGCCCUGGGGACAGCGGCGAACGGGUGCGUAACACGUGAGCAACCUGCCCCAAAGACCGGGACAACCCGAGGAAACUCGGACUAAUACCGGAUACCCUCACCGGGUCGCAUGGUCUGGUGAGGAAAUGGAUUCCGCUUUGGGAUGGGCUCGCGGUCUAUCAGCUUGUUGGUGGGGUAACGGCCUACCAAGGCAACGACGGAUAGCUGGUCUGAGAGGACGAUCAGCCACACUGGGACUGAGACACGGCCCAGACUCCUACGGGAGGCAGCAGUGGGGAAUCUUGCGCAAUGGGGGAAACCCUGACGCAGCGACGCCGCGUGCGGGAUGAA
rnacentral:rRNA from 1 species